rnacentral:rRNA from 1 species
AUGAAGGGGCGGUUGGGAGCUCUGAGAGGUUCUACGGCUGCUAGUGCAGAUAGUCCUACUACACCCAAUAAUCCCAUUGUGGAAUUGAUAGAUAGCGAUGAUGAUGUGUUUGACAAGAUUGCUGGUGUUGGAAGAGUCACGAGGAGCGCUGCUGCCAAAGGUUUAUCUCCCCUUGCUGGAAUAAUGGCUCUUAGAGCUGGUGGUGCUAGGAAAGAUCCCGCUUUGGAUUCUAGCAAUGUUGUAAGCACGAAGCGUGCGCCCAGAGCUCCUAUAAAGUUUUGCUCCCCUGUGCAGCAACUUCACCCUUAUAAAUUCCCUCAUCUGGACAAGGCUUGCAGGUUGUAUAAUCUAUUGCUUAGUGAUGAAUGGCGUGAGAAGUAUGCCGAGAAUACAUUCUCAAUGAUACCUCAGCCUGAUGAUAACGUAACUAGCUUCACUGGGAAACGCAUCUGGGAACUUUUGGCACCUGGGAAAAUGAUGGAGGGUGAUGUUGUGCUUGACUAUUCGUUUUACGAGGAUGAAAAUAAAGUGUUUAAUGUGGAGAGUGCAACGAGAGAUUUCAAGAGCUAUGUUAAAGCUAAUGAAGACUUGCUCAGUGCCGACCUUAUCAUGAUGCCUCUAUUCAAGCCUAUGGUUUUAUCAAAGGAUAGGAAAGUAAACCACUAUUCCUUAUGUGUCAUCAAUCGGUACCGAAGUAGCGUUGACAUCCUUGACUCUUUACCUUAUCCGAAGAACCACCGUCCUUCGAAGAACACCUAUCACAAAGACUGCGAGAAGAUUAUUUCUAGAUUGGUCAAAGUAAUGAAGGCUGUGUAUGGUGAUGCUCAGUACAAUGCGAGCAAGCAGCCCAAUUGGGAGUUGUUUGCAAAGAAACCAACGUUUGUAAAGGUUCCACUUCAAGGGAAAAAUGAAUGUGGCCAUUAUACUUUGAAGUAUGCGGGAUGCUAUGAUGGUGAAAAGAUCGUUGAGAACAUUCGAGAUAAUGACAUGGCCACGCAUUGUUGA